rnacentral:rRNA from 1 species
UACGUAGGGGGCAAGCGUUGUCCGGAAUCAUUGGGCGUAAAGAGCGUGUAGGCGGCCCGGUAAGUCCGCUGUGAAAGUCCAGGGCUCAACCCUGGGAUGCCGGUGGAUACUGUCGGGCUCGAGUCCGGAAGAGGAGUGUGGAAUUCCUGGUGUAGCGGUGAAAUGCGCAGAUAUCGGGAGGAACACCAGUGGCGAAGGCGGCACUCUGGGCCGGUACUGACGCUGAGGAGCGAAAGCGUGGGGAGCGAACAGG